ensembl:snRNA U4 U4 spliceosomal RNA
AGCUUUGCGCAGUGGCAGUAUCGUAGCCAAUGAGGUUUAUCCGAGGCCUGAUUAUUGCUACUGGAAAACUUUUCCCAGGAAAUUAGCAAUUUUAAAGAAUCCUUCUAUGUCUAGAAAUUUAAAUUUCCCAGCUGGUCCAUGUACCAAUUAAA